GAAAGGUUUGUGGUUUUUACGUUUGUAAAUCAGCUGUUCUGUUUUACAAACUACGUAAAAUAAAUGAAUCAAUCUUAAAUAUAAGGUUGUAAUACUUUAAAGCGCAUCCUCAUAUUAUUAACAGAAAAUGUGCGUCUCAUUUCGCUCACUAUAUGUGAAUCAGUACAUCGUUCAAGUACAGGAAAGAGUUGAGAGAAACUGCGAAUCUGAAUCAUCUGAACCGAAUCAUUUGUAAAAUGAUUCAGUGAUUCGUAGCGCUCGAAUCAGCUCAUGCUGACGACAAACCCAAACAUGUGUAAUGUCAGCUUUUACAAACCAACUGCAAAUGUUUUCAUGAAAGUGACAGUGUUCAAACACACAGGAAAACUCCUGCUGAAUCAACUCCUGCUGAGAUCCAUGUGACCCACUAUUAUAAAGAUGGUGUUUAUUAAAGAGGAGAGUAAAGACAUGAAGAUUGAAGAAACAUUCAGAGUCAAACAUGAAGAUACUGAGGAACAAACAGACAUGUUGAGAUCACAUGACCAGACAAAUAAGAUCCUGGUUUCACAUUGGACAUUUGUUACUCUGACAUCAUGCACCGUAUCAGAUUGUCUUCACAGAAAACCACCUGGGGAAGCAUCUCUUUUUCAGUUCAAAACAAACUUUUUUCGUUUUAAGGACAUCCUGCAUAUUACGACAGUUACAUGAUUUAUCUGAUUUGGAUGUUACGUAUUAUGUAUGUUACACUGACAAUGCACCGCUAUUAAACCUUGACUAAACGUAAACCUGUAAAUGUCACAAUUUCCAUUGUAGUUGUGCAAAAUAUUCCUUUUUCAAAUUGCCUAAAAAAACACCUCAUGUGAGCAUGUAAACAUUUUUUGCUAUAUAUGGGAGUUUUUGAAGGGUAAUAGAAACACAGACAGUGGUCAGUGUGACUAGUAAUCACUUUAGCUGCAGAAUUUUAAACCAGCUAGAGCUUAUUUGUUGAUCCUGCAACAUUUAUAAGGUGAAAGUAGACCAUGAUUAUGAUUAUUAACAAUUCGUGAAUGCAGUAACCAGGCAUGUAAUUGUGGAAAAUGUAAUUGUACAUCUCUCUGUCAAGAUCUGGAUGGGUGGAGGUCCUAAAAAUGUGGAUGGGGUUCCAAAGAAAGCAAAGAAUUAAGAAUAUCGACAAGUUGUGAGAUUACAGGUUAUACCUUUCAGUAGUAUAGUAGGUAUUAGGGAUGUCACAGUACUCAAUAUAAUAUCGAACCGUUCGGUACGACAUCUACGGUUCAAUCCUUGCUUGUGAAUUGCGUUUUUUUUGGUUUUGCAUUCAAAUAAUUUCCUUGUUUUAUUUCUCUCGAAAUUUGCUUUGUGUGCCCAUGAUUUCACGUGCUGAAAUAUUUAAAACUUCCCUGCUUGUAUUUAAAAAAAAGCAACACACGCAGAGCAUCUUCCCUUCUAAUGACAUGCAAUGAUAAGCCUUUCUAAACCUGUUGUCCAACAAAAGAGAACAUUAUAACUUUUUUUUACUUCACAGCAUCAGUUGAGUGUUUGAAAUAACUUCCUUUUGUGAUCUGAUGUGGCUUCUUAUCAAAGAAUGAGGCAGACAAUGUAUUCUACACUGUAUGUCGAAUACAGCUUACUAAUGUCAUUAUGAAAAUCAUUAUGAAAAUACCCGAGAUGGCUUGAA